rnacentral:rRNA from 1 species
GCAUAUCAAUAAGCGGAGGAAAAGAAACCAACAGGGAUUGCCCUAGUAACGGCGAGUGAAGCGGCAACAGCUCAAAUUUGAAAUCUGGCUCUCGGGCCCGAGUUGUAAUUUGUAGAGGAUACUUUUGAUGCGGUGCCUUCCGAGUUCCCUGGAACGGGACGCCAUAGAGGGUGAGAGCCCCGUCUGGUUGGAUGCCAAAUCUCUGUAAAGUUCCUUCGACGAGUCGAGUAGUUUGGGAAUGCUGCUCUAAAUGGGAGGUAUAUGUCUUCUAAAGCUAAAUACCGGCCAGAGACCGAUAGCGCACAAGUAGAGUGAUCGAAAGAUGAAAAGCACUUUGAAAAGAGAGUUAAAAAGUACGUGAAAUUGUUGAAAGGGAAGCGUUUAUGACCAGACUUGGGCUUGGUUAAUCAUCUGGGGUUCUCCCCAGUGCACUUUUCCAGUCCAGGCCAGCAUCAGUUUUCCCCGGGGGAUAAAGACUUCGGGAAUGUGGCUCUCUUCGGGGAGUGUUAUAGCCCGUUGUGUAAUACCCUGGGGGGGACUGAGGUUCGCGCAUCUGCAAGGAUGCUGGCGUAAUGGCCAUCAACGACCCGUCUUGAAACACGGACC